AAUUGAAGCAAAAAGGGAAGGAGUUAAUGAGAAUUAGAAAAGACAUAUAACAGUACUUUUACUUUAUGCAUGGCAUGGGACCUUGUUUCCCUAUAUUCGAUUAUAUAUUCAUGAAAAGGUCUCACCAGCAUGAAACACUUCAUGAAAUCUCCUCAGUCAAAGGUAAAAUGGAUGAACCAUGAUAUUAUGGGUAUAAUGGAGAUCAAUUUUUGAUCUAGGGUGUUAUACCCUAAUUUGUAUCCCUAAGAUUCUAGCUUCCAUUCAUUAUCAUAUCAUGUGCAUCCAACCAAAGAUCACAAGCAUGACAUCCUCCUAAUCCUUAACCCUUUGGUUUGCUUUUUGUGGGAGAUCACCAAGCACCCUUUCUAUUUAUUAUUUUUCCAUCUAUGAUUGUUUAUAUUUUGUCAACUAACUUUGCUAACCUUAUUCAAAAUACAAAAAACGUGUCUCUUUAUUUUCUUAUUGUACAAUGUAGGAGCUUGCAAUCAAGGGAGCAAAAGAGUAUCUAAUUCUUAAAAGAUCUUAUUCAAUGAUCAAGAAUGAUUAGAGAUUCAAGGUUACUUGGUUUAUGGUUGAAUAUAUCAAAAGAUCAAGGAUUGUUGUUCGGUUGACAUGAGGAAUCUAUUCAGGUUGAAGCAAUUAUAACAUUCCGAUCGUGCUUCGAGAUCUUCGGGGUAGUUCAAAGACCAUCCUUGUGGAAUUUUUGCUGAUAUAUUAUCUACAUCUUGCCUCUUUCUCUAAAAAUCAAGAAUUUAGACUAGGAAUGUUUUAAAUUUGUUUGUUGUCUUCUACUUUGAUUUUAUUUGUAGGCCCAGGUUAUAACGCAAAUAAUGGAAAUGUCGAGACCGAAUAUGCCAGAAAUCUAGGAAAUCCUUACAUGUUCUAUUAUGGCAUGAACUGGGUAAUUUGUUUGUUAUUUUCAAAUGUAUUUUCUUGAGCUCGGUUGGGAAUUAAGUAAAGCUUGGCUAAUAAAUGCUCCGCCCAAGAUUCAAAAUUGUCUAACUUUCCUCAAUCUUCCAAAUUAUGUAGAUUUCACAACCACCAUGAUAAUGUGUAUUGGGUUUAGAUAACUGGAACUACUUAGUACAUGUCUGUGUUUAAAUGUGUACUUGAUACAAAGAUUUGAUGUCUCAGAACUAAAUCAUUUGUUUUAUGUAACUUCUUUUCAAAUUUCUUGAUGGUUAUUCUUAAUGUAACGAUUAACGAAACACCAAUUAAUGUAACAAUGACUAUCCAGUUUUAUGUUUAAAUAUUCAAUUGAAUAUCUAAUCUAAUGGCUCUUUGAUGUCAAUUCACAGUUAAAUUUUACAGUCUGUUUUAUGUGUUGAUCUCUUGUGGAAACAUUUGGCCAAUGUAUUUAUAAAAAGAGGAGACAAAAUCGUGGAAGAAAUUAACUAACAAUGCAGUCUCAGGUGCUGCUGGAAUGAUUUCCCAUUAUCAGCUUUUCAAAGUGAGCAUGUCUUUGAUUUAAAUAAGGACCAUGUUGGUCAAGCACAAGCCUUUAAUGUUCAUGCAACUUAUCUCCACUGACUUAAUUUAUUAUGUCAGCUUGCAUCUGGUGAAGUUUUCAAUCCAAGCUCUUGAAGGUCAUAGGUGUCAGCUCAUUGUUAUACUAUCUAAUUAUAUCUACAUUUAUUUUCUCUUUGUGUUGAAUUAUAUUAAGUUACUGGAGUCCAUACUCUUGAGAACGGGAUUUUACAAGAAUUAUCCCUUGAAUCCAAAUUCCCGUCUGACUAUUCAUUGGCAUUUUCAAGUCAGUUAUUUUUUGAAGACUAUUACUAUUGUUAUGUGUCAGAAAAACACACACCAGGUUAGCAAUUUCAUUACUCCCUCCGUCUCACAAUGAGUGAUCCAUUUGGAAUAAAAUGAUGUCCCAAAAUGAAUGAUCCAUUUCAAUUUCCAAUAUUUUUUUUACAAUUCUACCCUCUAAUUAUUAAAAAGUUCACAAUUCUCAAUACAUGAUAAGGGUAUUAUGGUAAAAACAAUAUUAUCCCUCUUACUUUUUUACACUUUUCUUAAUCUGUGUGAAAUGGUGUGUUGGGCCACUUAUUGUGGGACGGAGGGAGUAGAUCACAUGUGCACAAAAUAACAUGGCUAAACAAUUAUACUAAUACAUAGAAUCAACUUUGCCAUAUUUAAAAUGGUGACUUUUAUCUUUGUAAGUUGUAACAUUGACAUGUGGAAAUAUUCUAUAGAUUGCAAAGGAAAUUAUUGCGGCUGGGAUAGCUUUAUCUGCUAAUUCAACAUCUGCAGUUAUUGAUAAACAACUCAAAGAGGAAAGUAGGGCGUUGAAGUUUGGAGCAUUGCAGGUUGAAGUUAUUCUCACUAAAGUCAAUAUAGGGGUUGCAAUUGCAUUCGUUUUUGGUUAAGUCUUCCAUUUUAAAAUUUUAUCGCUACAAAAUCUCUCUUCUCAAUAUUGUUACCUGCAUUUGACUUGACUGAUGGUACUAGGUGUUAGAAAAUAUCAGUUUCAAUUGAAUGGACCGAGGCUAGAAUCGUGAACGAAAUCACUUUUCUUAAAAGUAUUUCAAGCACACUCUCGAUUGUCUUAGAGUUGGAACGACCCGAAUACCCAGGAUAAUUUAGCCUUACUCGAGUCUGCACAAGACCGAUGAAGAACUCGAAUGCAAGGAAGAGUGUCUGAAAUAAUGAAGAGAAUUUAUGAUUUUUGUGUAUUUCAUUUUGGAUUCAUAAAUGUGUAUUUAUAGGUCAUGCAUGUGUUGUUUCAUAAGUUUGCAACUCUUGAUGAAACAACACCUUUUCACCAUAUAUUGCAAUGGUUCAUCUAUAAUGACACAAGACACCCCUUCAUGAAAUGUUGUAAAUUUGAAUUCAAAAAACAAAUUUAUGCAACAACCAAAAAUUUAUUCCCAUUUUUUUUCACAUUAGAACACACUAUGGUAAUUAUUAUUUUAUAAUUUCCAACAAUCCCCCACUUGUUCUAAUAAUGACAAAAUUAAUAAUUCCAGAAAUGAGAUAUAAAGAGUGUUAAUACAGUUAGGUAUCUUUCGAUUUAAAACUUAACCUUAGUGAGUACAACACAAAGUUUAAUCGGAAUAUUAGGUAGCAAAGCUUUUAAACCAUGAAUCCAUAUGAUUAGACCGGUGUUGCCUUACACACACUCUUUAAAGGUUCUUCCUCUGCAUAACUCGCUUAGCACUUAUUUAUGGCCAUGUGCUAUCCUGUUUCAUGAAUUUUUCAUGAGAGAAACUCCAACUCUCACUUUGAGACGGCACCAUCUCGAAAUUCACA